rnacentral:lncRNA from 1 species
UACAACAUUCCUUAAGAUGAUUAACUGAUAUUAAAUGUAAAUGAUAAACUUACAUCUUCUAUAUAUUUGUUCCGUACUUGUGAGAGAAAAAAAGGAAAAGAGAAAAGUUAUUAAUAACUAUGAGAUCUAUCUUUGUUGAUUCAACAAUGAUCAUUACAAAGGGUUGUAACAAAAAUCUGGACUGUUGGUUUGUUGUUGGGGACCUCCUCUUGUUCUCAUCUUUGAUACAAUGCUCCUCUUUUUUCUUCCAUUAGAGCCUUUUCUCUUGCCUUCUUAUAUAUAUAUGUAUACACACACACACACACAUACACACACCAGCCUUCCAUUUAUCCAACGGUCAUUACCCAACGUACCUUCUCAUGAUUAUGCUCUUCCAUGUUUGCCCAAGUAUUAUGACGCAUGUAAUGUCGUUCUGACGGCUCGAUCUCGACAAUGAUUGAGAUAUUCGUCGCUGUUACGCCUCGUAAAUACGACUAUAGCUUGGUCAACCUCUUACCAUUCCAUUUAAUAGUAAUUCAUUUGUGGUCUGAUUUAAACCCCCUGUGACAUUACCAACUCUUUCCACAUGGACGGAGUUGUUCUAAUAUUAACAAAGAGUAAGACCAAUUUUC